UCCCGGUUGGCCCGGGCAGUUUGGCAUGAAAUAUCCAACAUACCAUAAGGGUUGCGCUCGUUGCGGGACUUAACCCAACAUCUCACGACACGAGCUGACGACGGCCAUGCAGCACCUGUCACCAGGUUCCAAAAGGCACAUCCAUCUUUCGACGGACUUCCUGGGAUGUCAAAUCUCGGUAAGGUUCUACGCGUAGCUUCAUAUUAAACCACAUCAUCCUCUGCUUGUGCGGGUCCCCGUCAAUUCCUUUGAGUUUUAAGCUUGCGCUCGUACUCCCCAGGCGGUGUGCUUAACGCGUUAGCUGUUCAGCCCAAGGGGUCGAUACCUCGAACUAAUAGCACACAUCGUUUACGGCGUGGACUAC
rnacentral:misc_RNA from 1 species